AGCAUGGUGACCUAAUGGUUAGCAUGUUGGACUCCAGAUCGAGCGGUCCAGGUUUGAGCCCUGGCUGGGAUCAUUGUGUUG